UACGGGGGGGGCGAAGCGUUGUUCGGAAUUACUGGGCGUAAAGGGCUCGUAGGCGGCCAACUAAGUCGGAUGUGAAAUCCCCAGGCUUAACCUGGGAACUGCAUCCGAUACUGGAUGGCUUGAAUCCGGGAGAGGGAUGCAGAAUUCCAGGUGUAGCGGUGAAAUGACGUAGAUAUCUGGAGGAAUACCGGUGGCGAAGGACGGCACUCCUGGCCCGGUAUGACGCUGAGGUGCGAAAAGCGUGGGGAGCAAACAGGG
rnacentral:rRNA from 1 species